rnacentral:sRNA from 1 species
UAAUUGGCUUGGAGGCGGCUAUAGCCGCAU